rnacentral:tRNA from 1 species
AAAAAGAUAAGCUAACCCAAGCUAAUAGGUUCAUACCCUAUAUAUAGAAGUAUAAUCUUCUUCUUUUUA